UACGUAGGGUCCGAGCGUUGUCCGGAAUUAUUGGGCGUAAAGGGCUCGUAGGCGGUUUGUCGCGUCGGGAGUGAAAACACGGGGCUAAACCCCGUGCCUGCUUCCGAUACGGGCAGACUAGAGGUAUGCAGGGGAGAACGGAAUUCCUGGUGUAGCGGUGAAAUGCGCAGAUAUCAGGAGGAACACCGGUGGCGAAGGCGGUUCUCUGGGCAUUACCUGACGCUGAGGAGCGAAAGUGUGGGGAGCGAACAGG
rnacentral:rRNA from 1 species